rnacentral:rRNA from 1 species
CCUUGCCAGCCCGCUCAGAAACUUAAAGUAGAAGUGACGGGGGCCCGGCACAAGCGGAGGAGCAUGUGGUUUAAUUCGAUGAUACGCGAGGAACCUUACCUGGGCUCGAACGUAAGAUGACUGUAAGGUGAAAGCUUACAUCUCUUCGGAGCAUUUUACGAGGUGCUGCAUGGUUGUCGUCAGCUCGUGCCGUGAGGUGUCGGGUUAAGUCCCAUAACGAGCGCAACCCCUACCUUUAGUUGCCAUCAGGUUAAGCUGGGGACUCUAAAGGAACUGCCUACGCAAGUAGUGAGGAAGGCGGGGAUGACGUCAAAUCAGCACGGCCCUUACGUCCAGGGCUACACACGUGCUACAAUGGCCGAUACAGAGGGCAGCUACCUGGUGACAGGAUGCAAAUCUCCAAAGUCGGUCUCAGUUCGGAUCGGAGUCUGCAACCCGACUCCGUGAAGUUGGAUUCGCUAGUAAUCGCGCAUCAGCCAUGGCGCGGUGAAUACGUUCCCGGGCCUU